UCCUUUACAUCCAAAGUCAAACACACAUGUUCUAGGGCAAAGCAAGCGGUCGAAGCAACCCAAACCAAACUUCUCACGUUACGUAAUUAAUAGAACAGAGAGUUUACUUAGCAGCAUUGAUGAGAUAUGGCAGAGAGCUAGCAAGAAAAGAUGUAACAUAGAACAUGGAACCUAAGAGAGGUACUCGCGUUUUGACAGCCAAGUACUUUG
rnacentral:lncRNA from 1 species